GGGGAAUAUUGCACAAUGGGCGAAAGCCUGAUGCAGCGACGCCGCGUGAGCGAAGAAGUAUUUCGGUAUGUAAAGCUCUAUCAGCAGGGAAGAUAAUGACGGUACCUGACUAAGAAGCACCGGCUAAAUACGUGCCAGCAGCCGCGGUAAUACGUAUGGUGCAAGCGUUAUCCGGAUUUACUGGGUGUAAAGGGAGCGCAGGCGGUGCGGCAAGUCUGAUGUGAAAGCCCGGGGCUCAACCCCGGUACUGCAUUGGAAACUGUCGUACUAGAGUGUCGGAGGGGUAAGCGGAAUUCCUAGUGUAGCGGUGAAAUGCGUAGAUAUUAGGAGGAACACCAGUGGCGAAGGCGGCUUACUGGACGAUAACUGACGCUGAGGCUCGAAAGCGUGGGGAGCAAAC
rnacentral:rRNA from 1 species